ensembl:lncRNA
UAAUCAAUUAGGACAACAUUAACAAUCCUCUAUAUGUGGAGGAGGCUCCACCUGUGGAUGAUCCGACCCUAAAUGCAGCAAAAUCCAGCCAGGUUGGUUUCUGCAAGUUUGACAAAACACGUUGAUUGAAAUGUCUUAGAUAUUAGACAUUUAGUGAUCUUGUAGCAUUUUCAGGAUGUUUCAGAGAACCGAGCACAUGGUUUAGCCUUUGAAGGUGUCACUACUACUCCACCUGCAGCACCAGCCUCACAGGUAACCAUGGAGAUACAUAUAAAUGUUGAAACAGUUUUUCUUUUUUCUUAAAAGAUACCUUUUAUAGUUGCACAUAUUUCUUAAUGAAACUUUUGCUUUUUAACCAGGAAAUAAAAGUUGUUGCAGGUGGAAAGUUAGCAUCUUUUCAAAACCCCCUGUAUAAGGAAUCUGAAGAUGCUCACCGUUCUGAUUCAGACAUUUGACGGGACCGGUUCACCAGGAUUUAGACAGAGCCAUCACACUGACUCAUUCAUUUUUUUACAGGAUCCUGUUAAAACUCGAUGAAGGGCUUCAUAAAACUGAACCUAAAUUAACCAAAACACUUUGUAGUACAGGAAAAUGCAGUAUUCUGACACUUUGAGAUGUAACCUAAAACUUUGUAUGGAUUGUAUUGUAAAAAUAAAUAAAUGAUAAUCUUGAUUUGAUAUACUAUUCAUUCUUAAUGCAUUAAAGUCAAUGAAAAUGCGUGAACCUCAAUUUAUAAUUCAUUUUGUACCUUAUUGUAAAUUUGUUGUAAAUUCUUCUUAAAGAAAACCAUUAUCAUGUUUUGUCUACUGUUGUUAAUCUGCCUGGAGCUUAACAGUUAUUUUCUGAGUUGGUAAACUGUUUUACGUUUUUAUAUAAAGAUAAAAUGGAAAGGUUUUUCUUU